rnacentral:rRNA from 1 species
CGCGUAGGCGGUAAGAUGGGUGUGAUGUGAAAGCCCCGGGCUUAACCUGGGAAGCGCAUCGCAAACUAUCUAACUGGAGUAUAAGAGAGGGUGGCGGAAUUUCCGGUCUAGCGGUGAAAUGCGUAGAGAUCGGAAGGAACGUCGAUGGCGAAGGCAGCCACCUGGCUUAAUACUGACGCUGAGGCGCGAAAGCGUGGGGAGCGAACA